CAAUUUAUAUCUUAUGUAAUAAAGUUUUUCAUUUACAUUGAAAAAAAGCUUGUGUAAAUCAAGUUAAAUUGA
rnacentral:tRNA from 1 species